UACUGAGAAAAACCUUUUUUAUCCAAGAG
rnacentral:piRNA from 1 species